rnacentral:rRNA from 1 species
AUUGAACGCUGGCGGCAGGCCUAACACAUGCAAGUCGAGCGGAUGAAGGGAGCUUGCUCCUGGAUUCAGCGGCGGACGGGUGAGUAAUGCCUAGGAAUCUGCCUGGUAGUGGGGUAUAACGUCCGGAAACGGGCGCUAAUACCGCAUACGUCCUGAGGGAGAAAGUGGGGGAUCUUCGGACCUUACGCUAUCAGAUGAUCCUAGGUCGGAUUAGCUAGUUGGUGGGGUAAAGGCCUACCAAGGCGACGAUCCGUAACUGGUCUGAGAGGAUGAUCAGUCACACUGGAACUGAGACACGGUCCAGACUCCUACGGGAGGCAGCAGUGGGGAAUAUUGGACAAUGGGCGAAAGCCUGAUCCAGCCAUGCCGCGUGUGUGAAGAAGGUCUUCGGAUUGUAAAGCACUUUAAGUUGGGAGGAAGGGCAGUAAGUUAAUACCUUGCUGUUUUGACGUUACCAACAGAAUAAGCACCGGCUAACUUCGUG